AUCAAAUCUGCUGGUUUGCUCUGCUCCAACUCCCGGAGAUCAGGAUCAACUUCCCCAGAAGGAUCGCCUGCCCUGUGCGCUAGAGGCCACUCUGCCAACCCUGGCAGUCAGCAUGGCCCAGAUCUUUACACGAUAUCCUCCUCCGACUCAUGGUGAAAAAACCUGCAAAGGUGAUACGAACAGGUUCAAGCCUACCACUAAGCUCCCUUCCACGUGACGCUCAUCAGAUUUCACAUCUGAAAGAGACCGUGUCCUUUAAUGAAAGCUGAGCUUCACUUCAAAGUCCACAUAUUCUAGGAGUGCUCUGCAAACAGACCCAAGCUUCGGUAUGGAUCUGGGAAGUGGACACACCCUGCAGGGAAGAAGCCCAGGGACCUCCGG